CCACUGGAAACGGUGGCUAAUACCGCAUAACGUCGCAAGACCAAAGAGGGGGACCUUCGGGCCUCUCACUAUCGGAUGAACCCAGAUGGGAUUAGCUAGUAGGCGGGGUAAUGGCCCACCUAGGCGACGAUCCCUAGCUGGUCUGAGAGGAUGACCAGCCACACUGGAACUGAGACACGGUCCAGACUCCUACGGGAGGCAGCAGUGGGGAAUAUUGCACAAUGGGCGCAAGCCUGAUGCAGCCAUGCCGCGUGUAUGAAGAAGGCCUUCGGGUUGUAAAGUACUUUCAGCGGGGAGGAAG
rnacentral:rRNA from 1 species